GUUUCACUUACACCACUACAUUUUUAAAGCUAACUUUUGGUAAAGUAGGAACAUUCAUCACACAUGUUUUUUUAAAGGCGUAAUAAAGAGAUGCACGUAAAGCUAUUCAAUUUUUCAUCAACAAUGACGGGCUUUUAUUGGAAAAAGAUUUUGAGCACGAUGCGUUAGCCACCCUGUAUAAGCAGAAUAUCUUCAAAUUAUAUGCAAAGUCGUUUGCGCAUUGUAAAUAUACGAAUCUUCCCCUGAUGUUAAUUGUGGCCAUUUGGUGAAACUCGCUCAUCGUUUUCAGUUCCCCUGCGAAACGUGAAAUAUUUUGAUAAUGGCCGCACUGCGAAUCUUCUCUAUAAUCUACAUUCUCCGGUCUUAGCAAUCUUUAAUUACCUGUCGAUAUGUCGCGUUAAGAAACUCAUAGAAACUUUAACAGAAAUUUCUGGUAUUUUAAAUUUAACCAAUAGGUGGUUUGCAGGGUUGGUUAAAUUCGUUUUGUCCAAAAUUUUAGUAAACGGUAUUUUGUUUUCGAUACUGUAAAGCUGAAAAUUGUAAUUUGUUAUAGGAGAAUUAAUUUAGAUUAAAUAGGAUAAUUCUUAAAAAAAAAUAAAACUUCGCACAAAUAAAAAACAGUUACCAUUCAAAUUUUAAAUACACCACGAAAUUUAAUUUCAAACAAAUUAGUAUAUUUAAUCGUGAAAAUAGAAAUUGUAUACUUAUACUUUUCGGUUAUUUAAAUAAAAACAAUUAUUAACGAAUAAUUUAGCCCUCACCUACCGGCUAUUUUGGAUUAACUACAAGUGUGAAUUAUGGUAUACUAUAUUCAUUAUUCAAAAUCGUAUCAUUCUGAUAGCAGCAAAGCUGGAAAAUUAAUAGUUUUCAGCGGAAUAAUAUUUAGGUGAUGAGAUAAAUGCUCGGAAAGUUUGCACUCAAAACCUUCAACAUAGUAUAUAAUACAUAAGUAUGCGAUCUUGAAAUCUUGUCCCUAUACUUGACUUCUUCUCUCCUAUAACUGGAAGCUGCACAAAUAAAAAAAAACACAUACGUUUUCAAUUUGUAAAACAACUAGCAGAAAAUAAUACCAUAACUGUUAAUACAUACAUACGUACACAUGUA